ensembl:lncRNA
CCCCCUCCUGCCAAGUCUUUGGGGGACCUAAAGAUAGCAUAGGAUAGGAUGCAUUUGCUGCCUUGUAUAUUGCUUGAUGAUGAAGCUCUAGAAAAAGGAAGCAAUUAUUGUAGAUAAGUCUCCCAUUCCAGCAUGGCUCUGCAGCAGGAAUAGGAGGUCUAGGCAGAGAAAGCCUGAAGCAGUACCCAACAGGCCUGCAGUCCCAGGAGAUGCCAGAGAGCCAAACAUUUCCCAUUCCCCUGAGAUGAGUAUUUGUGUGGCCUUUUGGGUUUAUCACUUUUAUAACACAUAAAAUCCAUAACUGCUAUUAACAUAAAUGUUAAUCAUGCUGCAUUCUAAUUUUCCUUUCUCUUAUUUAGAUAUCAAAUGGCUUAUAAGCUUCUGGAAUCAACUGUGUGAUCUUCAAAACUGGCAACUUGAGAACAGAGCAGGAACUGCUCUUAGAGGAAAUCUAUGUCCCAAUACAUCUGGCCCAUUGCAUGUAAGAACACACCAGGCUCUAGAGGCCAGUGGAAGCUCUCGGGCCAACAUCCUGCAUUUGGAAGAUGAGCUGGUAGGUACUGAAAUGAUGAGGGCCAAAAAGGUGUGGGUGGGGCACACACAGCAUCUGCCAUCUAUAAAAGGAUGUCUAGUACCUUACUCCAUUAAAUGAGUUCGCAGUUGUAACACACUUGGAACACUCUAUGGUCUAUAAAUGCGGUAAGCAUGUGUGGCAGAUUGUGUUUUUCUUACGGUGACACAGUAAUUUUCUGGUCCCAUGUGCUCUGCUAGAAACUUGCUACUCCCUAUUUUGGGUGGAGUCUGUUUUCUCUCCCCUGGGACCUAGAGGGACUUUGUGACUUCCCUGAUGCACAGUUUAUUGCAAAAGUGAAGCUGCUGGUUUCUAAGGCUAGGUCAUGGAAGGUGAUAAGGACCCGCCUGCUGUGUGUGUGUUUGUGUGUGUGUGUGUGUGUGUGUGUAAAGAGAGAUAGAGAUAGAUACCACACACACACACACACACACACACACACCCUUGGGAUCCCUGUCCUGAAGCCACCAUGUUGCAGAGAUCACAUGAAGAGACAACAUAGGAAUAGAGAAAUCCAAGAAGCCUCAGCUGUUCAAGUCCCCAGUGAAGCGCCACCUUGGGUAUAAAUGUGUAUACAUUUAGUGAUGACACCUUUGAUAUGACCCUAGCUACAGCCACCUAAUUACUGUAACCACCAGAGAGAACCUGAGCUGCAUCUGCCCAAUUACUCUCAACCUGAAUUCCUGAUCCACAGAAACCAUGAGAGGUAAUAAAUAAUGAUUGUUAUUUUAAGAUGCUACAUUUUGAGAUAACUUCUUAUGUAGCCAUAGUAACUGGAACAGUGCUUGAUAAAUAAAAUAAAUAUAAUCUCAUCUCCUCAACUUAUAGGCCCUCCUCAGAUAUGAAAUGAAAUCUUCAUAUUCUACAUUCCACAUUUAAGCAGGUGGGUCUAGCUCAAGCUAACGUUCUAAUAAUCAGAUCUGCACAUGAUUGAACUUUGCAAUAUGCAGAGGGUUUUGUUCUGGACAGGACAUUGUGGUGCUUCCUCGAUGUCCAUUUUGAUCAUCUUCCACUCAGGGGUUCCCUGGAUAUCUGGUCACUCACUCCUACCUCCAGCAGGAGGCCCUGAAUGGUCCAAGCCAUUAGGGAAAUUCAGGCAUCUUGCCAUAGCGAUUGGACCACACAAGUGAAGCAUAGCCAAUUAGCCCUUGGCUUUCCCCUAGGAUUGGUUAGGAAUGGAAUAAUCAGUACCACACCCGGGACUGUUGCUGAAGAAUCUGGGGCACAGAAGCAUUCUUCCUCCAGGAAGUGUUGGAUUCAGACAUGCAUGCUGGAACCAUUGCAAUGAUUUUGCUACCAUGACGGAAACCAGCCUGAGGAUGAAAUCAACACACAAAAGACACAACACGAAGAGAGUAACAGAGAUAUGAAUCUAGAGCCUUGAUAGAGUCAUGCUUAAAGCCCAGACUACCAUGCUUAAGGUCUUGACUCCCAUUCCAUUUGAUGUCUUCUAUCACCCCUGAAUGGAAGACGAUCAAAUGGAAUACGAGCCAAGAUGUUGCUUUCGUUGUUUAACCAUCUUAAUAUGGAUAUACUAUUACUUGGAACCAAAUGCAUCAUAAUUAAUUCUGGUACCAAUGUACUGGAUAUUGUCAUGAGAACUAAUCCACUCCUCUUCUGCAGACUUAGAAAAGAAAAUCAAUGUGUAACCUAUAUAAACCUUUUCUAGCAUUUUUUUUGGAAUUUUUAUAUGAAACCUCGAGUUUUCCCAGGAAAAUAACUACCAUUUUCCUGGCUAUAUCUUGGAUGUAAAUGUGCAUACAUUUAGUGGGUAUAUUUCCUAGGGGCUGCUGUUAACAAAGCACCACAAAUUGGUGACUCAGAACAACAAAAGUUUAUUUUCUCACUGUUUUGGAGACCAGAAGUCCGGUGUCCCCAGGACCAUGCUCCCUAUGAAAGUUCCAGGGAAGGAUGUGUUCCAGGGCUCCCUGAGCUCCCGGUAGCCUCAGGCAUUCCUUGGCUGGUUGAUGAGUGUUCUCCGUGUCUCUAUGCAUGUCUUCCCUCUAUGCCUCCAGCUCUGUGUCCAAAUUUCCUCCUUUCACAGUACACGAUUCAUAUUGGAUUAGGGCCUAUUCUAACACCCUCAGUUUAACUUGAUUACUUUUGUAACAUCCCUAUUUCCAAAGAUGGCCACACUCUGAGGAUUAGAAUUUCAGUAAUAACUUUUGCUGGAGGAGAGGGGAUGCAAUUCAGCCCAUGACAGUGGUGUAGAGAAAGUGGGCAAGGAGGGUGUACAUAGGAGGACAAGACAUCAAAUAUAGGAAAGUUAAAAAAAAAUACUAAAUUACUAAAAAAUACUGAAAAAAUACUAACCGCACAAUUUUGGAGUUUUCCAAGUGUGUAAGAAGGCUGAUAUUCCUGCUUUGAUUGUAGAGACUGGGGUUCCUGACUGAAGACACUUUCUCUGCAGAGAUACGGGGAUAGAGACAAACACAGAGCCUGUGUUGCCUCUCUUUUUCUAGCCUAGAUGUUGUCCUUGCAACAAUCUCUGUUUUGUUGGGUGUUUUUUGUUUGAGGGAAUACACACAAAGCUUUGACUUAUAUUAUUCUCAUUGCAUCCAGCUGAAUGAAAUUUAUGAAGCCUCUGGCACAAUGUAUUCAUUGUUUGGGUUGGGAUAAUUGAAGUGUCAGGAAUAUUUGCUUAUUGAAAACAACUCAGGAUGGCCCUGUGCACCCAACUGGUCCAGGGCCACAAGACACGCCACGUUCUGGGCAGCUGUGUCCUAUUGUCUUUUACAGCAGGGGCACCUUCCCAGGUAAAUCAACUUCACACCUGGGGAAGAGCAGCGGGUUAAGAAUCAGAAGACAUUAUUUCUGAUGUGAACUUCACAAUUCACUUACUGUGUGACUUUGAAUAAAUCAUUUAAUGUCUCUGGACUUCAGAGUUCAGUGGACAUAAAUAACAUGGUCUUUUCUACCUCUUAGGGAUACUGUGUAGCUCAAAAAGGAGAAUCUAUACGAAAUACUUUAGAAAUCAUAAAAUGUCAUCCAAAUGUGUGUCAUGAACAAUAAAAAUUAAUCAUGUCUACUUCCGCUCAGAGUAGAACUUUGAACUAAGGAAGAAAAUGGACCAAUGUUCUCAUUAUUCUCCAUUUUCUCCCCAAGAUCCAUCCUCCACACUUUUCUGCCCUGCUCUGUGCCUCGGGAGACUGAGCACUGAGGAUUGCAUUGGCUAGACUUCCUUGUCUUGUG